rnacentral:rRNA from 1 species
UGCCAGCAGCCGCGGUAAAACGUAGGAGGCAAGCGUUAUCCGGAGUUACUGGGCGUAAAGCGCGUGUAGGCGGUUGAGUAGGUCAGAUGUGAAAGCUCCCAGGCUAAACCGGGAGAGGUCAUUUGAAACCGCUUGGCUAGAGUGUGGUAGAGGGAUGUGGAAUUCCGGGUGUAGUGGUGAAAUGCGUAGAUAUCCGGAGGAACACCAGUGGCGAAGGCGGCAUCCUGGGCCACAACUGACGCUGAGACGCGAAAGCAUGGGGAGCGAACGGGAUUAGAUA